UAGGGAAUAUUGCAAAAUGGGCGAAAGCCCGAUGCAGCAACGCCGCGUGGGCGAUGAAGGCCUUCGGGUCGUAAAGCCCUUUUUGAGGGGAUGAGGAAGGACAGUACUUUCUGAAUAAGCCUCGGCUAACUACGUGCCAGCAGCCGCGGUAAAACGUAGGAGGCAAGCGUUAUCCGGAUUUACUGGGCGUAAAGCGCAUGCAGGUGGUUUUGUAAGUUGGAUGUGAAAGCUCCUGGCUUAACUGGGAGAGGUCGUUCAAAACUACAAGACUUGAGAUUAGUAGAGGAAAAUGGAAUUCCGGGUGUAGUGGUGAAAUGCGUAGAUAUCCGGAGGAACACCAGUGGCGAAAGCGGUUUUCUGGACCAAUUCUGACACUCAGAUGCGAAAGCUAAGGUAGCAAACG
rnacentral:rRNA from 1 species